rnacentral:rRNA from 1 species
UACGGAGGGUGCAAGCGUUAAUCGGAAUUACUGGGCGUAAAGAGUGCGUAGGUGGUUGAAUAAGUUAUCUGUGAAAUCCCUGGGCUUAACCUGGGCAGGUCAGAUGAUACUGUUUGACUCGAGUAUGGGAGAGGGUAGUGGAAUUUCCGGUGUAGCGGUGAAAUGCGUAGAGUUCGGAAGGAACACCAGUGGCGAAGGCGGCUACCUGGCCUAAUACUGACACUGAGGCACGAAAGCGUGGGGAGCAAACAGG